AGAAAAACCACCUUUUCUCAAGAAGCUCACCAUAUAAUUAUUGGAAAGAAAUCAAGUCAUCAGUGAUGAUAUCAUAGUGACAAGUACAAGGACAUUGAACACAAAAGGCUAUCGCAACACAUGAGAAAAACAAAACAAACCAGUAAGUCCAGCCUUAGAGAGAGUUCUUCUCAGAGAAAGUGACAUCUGUGGGUGAUUUGGUAGAGAACUACUGCAUGCCUUUAAGGGCACAGAUUGAAGCCCAUCUAUCUGGGUUCAAAUCCCAGCAUUACACACCAGAGACAGUUUGCCAACUUCUUGUUUCCAGUGAAGGCUCUCUUUUUAAUGUCAGAAAACCCUUGUGAAAAUUCCACAUGCUGCGUCCAAAAUUUUGCAGGUUUCUCCCAAUGAAAAAUCAACCAGAUCAUCAAAAGACAGAUAUUUUACCCACCCCCUCGGGUUGAAAAUGAUUUUGGAAAAGCAGGAGACAACUGAAAUAAGGAAAAACAAGCUUCCAGAGCAAGGUCCUAACACAACUAGGUGCUGGAGACAGCUAACUUAACUAGGACUACUGAACAGAGAAUUCAAAAAGACCAGGAUAGAAGAAGGCUGUGAUUUCCUGUGCUAUGUGCCUAUGCUACUAGGGAUCAGCUGUCUUUGCCUAGGCCUCUCAUACCACUGUCCACUUUGGUCCAGGACUUCCUGGCAGCCCUCAAGAAACUAGACAUCACGUCAUUGAUGUGUCAUCAAAAGCAGUGCCAGACUUCCUGUUCUCCCUGGGAAGGAUUUAAUGGCUAGGAAGAAUACAUAGAGGAUUCAGCUCCAGUAUAUGCAGACCAGAGAAGCCCCAGAUCCAGGGGCCCAAGAUGUAAAAUCAGCUUUGUGCAAAGAGGAAAAACCACUUCCGAAUUAAACUACUUG